GGAUCGAUGAUGACACCCACAAACGCAUUCCUGGAAAAUCUGAACAAAAUGAGUGAGAACUCACUACCGUCUCCUCAUCGCAAACUGAGGUCC
rnacentral:snoRNA from 1 species